rnacentral:rRNA from 1 species
UACGGAGGAUGCGAGCGUUAUCCGGAUUUAUUGGGUUUAAAGGGUACGUAGGCGGCUUUUUAAGUCAGCGGUGAAAUUUUGCAGCUUAACUGUAACAGUGCCGUUGAUACUGGGGAGCUAGGAUUUGGUUGCUGUGGGUGGAAUGUGUGGUGUAGCGGUGAAAUGCUUAGAGAUCACACAGAAUAUCGAUUGCGAAGGCAGCUCACAAAGCCAAGAUUGACGCUGAGGCACGAAAGUGUGGGGAUCAAACAGGAUUAGAUA